AAUGUACUCCCUCCGUUCAACAAAAGAUGUCUCAAGUUUGUCAAAAUUUGGAUGUAUCUAGACAUGACUUAGUGUAUAGAUGCAUUCAAUUUAGUCAAAGUUGAGACAUCCUUUGUUGGACGGAGGGAGUACUUA
rfam:Brachypodium distachyon strain Bd21 chromosome 1, whole genome shotgun sequence.